AACGAACGCUGGCGGCAUGCUUAACACAUGCAAGUCGAACGAGAUCUUCGGAUCUAGUGGCGCACGGGUGCGUAACGCGUGGGGAUCUACCAUAGGGUACGGAAUAACUCAGAGAAAUUUGUGCUAAUACCGUAUAAUGUCGCAAGACCAAAGAUUUAUCGCCCUUUGAUGAACCCGCGUAAGAUUAGCUAGUUGGUGUGGUAAAGGCUCACCAAGGCGACGAUCUUUAGCUGGUCUGAGAGGAUGAUCAGCCACACUGGGACUGAGACACGGCCCAG
rnacentral:rRNA from 1 species